rnacentral:rRNA from 1 species
UACGUAGGGUGCGAGCGUUGUCCGGAUUUACUGGGCGUAAAGAGCGCGCAGGCGGUCGUUCAAGUCGAGUGUGAAAGCCCCCGGCUCAACUGGGGAGGGUCACUCGAUACUGAUCGACUCGAAGGCAGGAGAGGGAAGCGGAAUUCCCGGUGUAGAGGUGAAAUUCGUAGAUAACGGGAGGAACACCUGUGGCGAAGGCGGCCAUCUGGACAACUACUGACACUGAGACGCGAAAGCGUGGGUAGCAAACAGG